GGUGAACUAGUGCCAUUCAAACCACCACCUAAUGAAGCUAAAGGAAAUGAUUGUAUGCACUGUGCACAUUGCCAAGGACUGUCUACCAGAAAGGUACUGUGGACACACAUGCCAAGUUGUCGCCUCAAACCUGCAUCAGUCACCUGAAAACCAGGAAAGAACCGUGUCCAGUCCAUGUGCACUUAUACUGGGCCUGUGCCUUCAAGUGUAUCCAAACCAGUGUGGGGAGUAAUAAGUGCAAUGAUUCCUGAUCCAAUCACAGAAAUAAUAAAAGAUGACCAUGUCAUCACAGAUGUUGGGCAGCACCUGUUCAACAAAAUUGGUAUGUCAGCAAAAAAUCAACAAUGUGUCAGAGAGAAGAUGCGGGAACUCGCAAGACUGACUCAUAAUGCCAGGAGAGUAACUACCUUGGAAAAAAUGGAGGAUUUUGUGGAUCCUAAGAACUACUUGGAGAUGUGAAAUGUACUCGUGGCUAUGAUAGUGACACUAACACAUUCUGCAUUCCAUCACUGGCAAAUAAACUUGGGAAUUCCCUGGUUGAAGUCAGCAAACUCUUGAAAGCACAAGCUUUGAUAAACAACAAUGAAGAGCUGGUCAGGAAUGCCACUCAGGUCCAAGAUGUCCACCGUGAGAAGUGGAAGGAGUUGAUCUCUGCAACACAGAUCCUCUUCUCUAACAGACCAAGAGAAGGAGAGCUAGCAGCCAUGACCUUGUUGGCCUUUUUGUCCAGAGACACAACUGAUCCCCCUGAAGAUGUGGACUGGGCUCUCUCUGAAGUGGAAAACAAACUCUGCAGACAUUUUUCAAGGAUUGUCUUCAGGGGAAAACCAGGCAGACCUGUUCCUAUUCUCCUGACUCCAAAAAUGCUGUGUGCAUUAGAACUUCUCAUGAAACUUGUGGGGUUCUCAAAGACAACACUUAGCUGUUUGCAAGACCCGCAUCGAUGACACAUUUCCGUGGUUCAGACUGCAUACGAGAGAGACUAUGCAAAAGCAUGUCUAAACAUGACAGACACAGACAUGGACAACUUUCUUGGCCAUGAUAUUAGAAUCCAUGGUGAGUUCUAUAGACUUCCUGAAAAGACACUGCAGCUGGCAAAAAUCAUCAAAGUUUUGAUGGCACUGGAGCAAGGUGGAUUAUCUGAGUUCCAUGGAAAGAACUUGGAUGAAAUGACAAUUGGUCCAAAAGGUAAGUUGUCAUCUUUGUUGUUUGUUUGCUUUGAAGUCAAUUCUAAGCUUAACAUGUUAUGUCUCCCACAGAAUGUGUUGUGCAAACUGAAGAGGAAGAUCUCACCAGAGAGGAAGAACACUAUCCAUGUCCUGACAAUGCACAACAGAGGUGGCCUGAUGCCGCCCCCCAAGACACUUUGAAAAGACAUCACGACAUCGUGCAGUAAGACAUUCUUCCAAUGGUAAAGCUGCCCUGGACACAGAAAGAGGUGAAGGCUGUGGAGAAGCACAUGAAGCCAUGCAUCCCUUCUGGUAUUGUACCAGGAAAGCAGAAGCACAUGAAGCCAUUCAUCCCUUCUGGUAUUGUACCAGGAAAGCAGAAGCACAUGAAGCCAUUCAUCCCUUCUGGUAUUGUACCAGGAAAGCAGAAGCACAUGAA